UAACCUGACCUAUAAUAGCCACGUACCAAUUAUCUUUCCAGCUUCUUCUUCGUUGUCAUCACUAUACACUGUCUCAUUCUCUAUUUUCCUUUUUGAUAGAAUUCUUUUGUAUUUCAUCGAAUAGAAUUUAUUUUAAGAAUCAAGCCAGGCAUGACAUACAAUUAGAAACGAACGAAAGUAAUCUGAUAGCUUGUGUUUAGUUGUGUUUUAUUGAGAUGCUAGAGGUUAGCAGCCCCAUAUACAUGGCAGUGGUAUAUAAUUUGGUGUGGAUGGGUACAUAAUUCUAAUUCCAAUUCCUUGCUUAGUUGUAUCUGAUCUAUACAUGCAUGUCUUCAAAUAGGUAUGUUGGUGCAUGCCCCUGUAUGAUUUUGGAUUACUAUUUCUUGAUGUCUUUUUUAUUUUUCUGCGCAAAUUAUAAUUGUAGCAUUAAUCCUAUUUCAUAAAAAAUUUGAAGUAUCAAGUACUUAUUAUUAUUGCUGGGUUUCCAAUAGACGACGAUAUUGCACCUACAUAUUCUUGGUUCAGUUCUUUUCUUAAUGUGAUUAUUAUUAACAAAUAACAAUCUUGAAGUUAUGCAUUUAAAGUGUUUGAUGAUAUGCCCGAAUCAUUUUUCCCUUUUUAGAGAGUGAUGUUCACGAACUCUAUUUUGUAACAAUAGAAGGUUGGUUAACUCAAUUAGUGGUCUUAAUCACAUCCCUUACACUUGAUCUUUUUGAGGACCAACAAUAGAAAAUUAUAUGAGAUAGAAGCUUUUUGAUAUCUUUGUGGAGGAGUUUAUUAAAAGGACUGCUAAGCCAAAUAGUAACUGAAAUUAAGGUUGUCGCUUGAAUGGACACUAUGUGACUUAUACGAAAUCUUCUUGCUAAUAGCAGUCUAUAGCUAUGUAUAAAUUGUACAUAGUUAUAGACCCUGAAAGAUUAUUAGCUUAAAGAAGCUUUAAGUUAGUAUUAUUCAUGUUUCUGUCUUUGUCUCUUUCAUGAAUGGUCUUAAUUUAUCAUGAACAAGAUGACAGUUAUUUAAUUAUCACAAACAUGACUGCUCCUUGUACUUAGAUUAUUGUAAUUUCUCACUCUUUCUCAACCUCUUUGGUUGCAGUUGUUUGCUACUGAUACUUCAUAGUUUUACUGUGUUUUAUCUUUGUUAAUGUGAUUCCCGUGUUUCAUUGGUGAUAAAUGUCUAAACGUCCAGCACUCUAAUAUUUUGAUUAGAAGGUAAUUUUUUCUUAUUAUAUAAUAUUUUGCUUCAAGUGGUACAAAGAUUGACACAAUAUUUACUUCAGAGUGUUAUGGGGGUCAUAAAGUAUGCAUUUAUCAUGAAUGACCAACUUUCUUUUUGUAGAAACAACCACUACUCCUCCCGUAGACAUGACAACAAUCGAGAGCAAAGACUUUCAACUUUCAAAUGAAAAAAACUAUUUCUUUAAAAAUCUACACAAGCUACCUAUUCGAAAUUUUGAGGAGAAAAAAAUUGUCAAUCCAGCAUUACCAACAUUACCAGUGAUCGGCAUCACUGAAUCAAGCAAAGGCAAGGUUAUGGAGAUUAGCUUAGAACGAAGAAACCAAUGCCCAGCAAAAAUAGACCUUCCAACAGUAAACAAAAACUAUAUCCAGAGUCCCUAUCAAAGGAGGGAUUGAAAGGUGAAACAGGUCUAAAAUAGUGUUAGGGUGAAAUUGGAAGAAAAAGACCUAAAAAAGACCAAGACUAUAGAUGAUACGAGUUACCAUAUGAGCCGUCAACACAUCAUAGGCUCGUAGGUUAACUCGUAAAGAUAACAAAAGUAAAGCCAAGAAGGAAAUUCAAGUGAAGGAAAGAUAUGACUCAAUAAUACGAGUCGUAAGAUGAGUAUAUGAGUUAUGUCAAGAAAUAAUAAGUACAACAGAAACCAAAGAAGCAAUUUAGAGUUGAAGUCUCAGAAGAAUACGAGUCGAAAGUCUGAGUACAACUCGUAUGGGCAAGUCGUAAAUAGACCGGUAUUCAAAGGAUUGAGAAGAAGAAGUCCCAGGUGGAUACGAGUGAAUACCACGAGUCGUAUGGUCAAGGUACGACUCGUGAGAAUGAGUCAUAAGAAGAACAAAAAGUUAAAGCCUGGAUAAUUAGACACUGGAGUGGAUAUAAGAAACACAGUACGACUCAUAAGAAGACUGUACGAGUAGACAAGAGUUGGAAGUUAUUACUAUGAGGAGAAAAGAGUGCCCGACAUUUUGAUGUUCGAUUAUCACAGGCAGCAUGAAAUAGGUAUUAGCACCAACCGACAACCGAUUUCUGGCUAUUGCUUUCCUUUGCAAAUCUUUCAGGUUGAUGAUCUUAUUCAAUUGAUGGAGGGUGAUAAUACUAGAUCAGUUAACAUCGAAAAUCAAUGUAAGCUUCCCGUUGAGUUGGCUCUUGGCAAAAGCUUGAACUUUCUGAGAAUGUGAAGGAGAUAAUCUGCUAAACUCUGUCUCUAAUUUUAGUUUUUCUCCUUUUUUUAAAAGAUAUAUUAUAGAAUAGAUAUCUUAGUUCAUGUUUUGAUACCUUGUUACUUUUAAUUUGAUUUGGAAAAAUGUUCUUUAGAUGAUGGUAUUAGCACCCAGAAAUAAACCCUAAGGGAGUGAGAGAUGUGUACUUUUGUGACUGGGUUAGGGUUAUUAUUGAGGCUCAUGAACGACUAUCAUCGAUUUCAUUUUUGUGUCGUCUUAUUUCUAUAAGCAUAGGAAAAUUUGUGCCUA